GAAAUAAAAGUUAUAAACCCCAUUCUUACGCUCUCACCUUUAUCUCAACCUCCCAAAACCAAAAACCUAAACCUUACCCUUUCUGCUCGUCACAGCUUCGUCUUCGAUCAAAUUGAUGCAAUUAUCGAACAUUCUCAAAAACACGAAACACGUCAAGGAAUUCGAGCUUGGUGUGAAUCUAAAAACUCUCCAAACGAAAUUAUCGAACCCGUUUCGCAACCAAUAACAAUAUCUUUGUCUCAUGAAGAGGCAAAAAUGAACAGUGAACUCGCGAAAUUAGUGAAGAAAGAGGUGGAUUUGGUGCAUCUGUGGCCGGAGUGGAUUCAAUUGAUGAAGAUAUUGGUGCAUUAGAAUUAUUUUUAACACAUGAGGAAGAUUGAGGAUAAAAUGGUGCAGGAUUUAGGGUUUGAUACUACCGAGGAUGUACACGACGAGGGGUUUGAUUUUACUAAGGGUUUUAAGAGUGUUCGUGUUAUGUGUCUCAAUUUUGGUGAAUAUCAUUUUCACUUGUUGAGAUCCCUUUCGAGGCGGGAUAUUUAAGUUUUGGAUGCCCUAAUGGGGACAGAAAGGUGAUUUUCUCUGGUAAGCUUUUAAGGAAGCUUGUACACCUUGACAAAAGAGAUGAGUUGAUGGACACUGAAGUUGAAAAGAAAAGGUACUUGAACAUAGAAAUGUGGUUACUCAGCUUGUGAGAAGAGAUGAAUCUGCUGGUGUAAAGGCAAUUGCGCUUACACUAGACACUCCAAUGCUUGGUCGUAGGGAAGCUGAUAUUAAAAACAGGUUGGACGAAAUAGAACAAUAGACCGAAAGUUGAUUUGACCAAUCUUGUAACUUCAAUAAUUUCCUCCUGCCCCAGCAGAAACAUGCACAUCAUCAUAAAAUUUUCAUAUAUUCACGGGAAUAGAGGUGGAAGUCAGAUUAUCGGUUCCCCACAUCUGCCAUGGAAUCAUCUUGGGUUUGGAUCUGGACGAGAAUAUGACUUUAUUGUCUUAUAAUUCUAUGGCUAUAUUGAAUAGAAAAUAUGCACACAUCAUUGACACCCCCUAGCGGUUGCAUGUUAAUCAUCAAAUAGUUUUUUAAUGUGAUAAAUAAAAGAAGAUAUUUCAUGUCUUUAUCACUUAUUUGAAGCAUGAGUAACUUUUGUCUUGAUGCAGGUUCGCUUACAUCUUCUUACUGUAGUAAUGAAGUGUUUCUUUAAAAGACCCCUGAGACUCAGAAAGCAUUAGGAGCUGCACUGGCCGCAGGUCUUGCUGACUUUCACCAAGUCAGCUUAUUUUGAGCACAAGGAGAGGGUACUCCUUUGGUUUGUGGUUUCCCUCUCGCUAUUGGUAGUCGGAUAUAUUCUGGAGAUUUUAGGUAUUGAAUACUCAGUCUCAACACAAAACAAAACUGAAAGAAAUUCUAUUGGCAGCUACAAGGAAGCAGAGAUUUGAGAGAGUAACCAAGAACCUGAAGUUGACAAGAGUGUUUUCUACUUUGGUAGCAGAGAUGAGAGUAAUCGAUGACGGCGGUAAGGGAGUCAUGGUCCCGAAGGAACUCAGUGAGAGGAGUCCAGUGCUACUAUUCAUGAGUGGCGGCAUGGGAGCCGGAAAAGUAUCGUUCUUAAAGACAUUCUAAGAGUGGAUGCAAGCAACACUAGUUGACUUUUAUAUCAAUGUUGUGGCCCUAGCAGGAAACUUGUUUUUGCUGAGCCUGUUCCCAAGGAUAACGAAGCUGCAACUUGGAGAGACAAGUUAGAUCAGCUUUAUAAGAGUUCAUCACAAAGUUUUAGAGUUGUUGUUCACGGAUCAAAAAUUAGCUCCUCAAUUCUCUCACGCUCGCUUGAUACGCUACUUGUUUAUAUGAUAUUCGGAGCAUGUCCUUCAGAAAUGAGGUGGAAAUGAGACAAAGUUUGCUGUGUAAUAUAUUUUACAUUGAAGACAGUGCAUUAGAAGUUAAGUAGAAGUGAAAAUGAAUUAAAUUGAUAGUUUGAGAGAGAAUUCUCUAAACCGUAUCUGAAUUUCAUGCAUGUGAAUGAGUAACAACAAUCAGUUGAAAUUAGUUAAAUUCUCCUAACUGGUAAUUGUUUCACUUUAUUAUAACUAACUGACUAAAGAGUAUAAGUCUAUAACAGAGUUUAAAAGGGCUGAAAAUAGCAGCUAGAAAUUUGUCUUCAAGUGGACUCACAGGAGAGUUAGUAUAUUCCAUAUGGAAGCUCACUAUGCUACAGUAUUUGUGAGUAUCUUUUUUUCUCUAUAUUCAUUGAAUAUUCAAAAUUGUAACUCUGCAUAUAGAUUGUUCAUUUCAGGAAUUUUUCAAACAAUAGCUUAACCGGACCUUUGCCCGAAAGUCUUAUACAACCACUAGUGCUAUUGUCAUGGAUUUGGUCUCUGAUUUCUUUGGCAUGAAUUUAGUGUGCCUUUAUAGUUCUUCUUAAACAUAAUAAUUAUGAAUUGUUUGGUAAAACUUGGUGCUGACAUUUGAUAAUAGUAAAGAUAGGGGUUAUGGUUUUAGAUAGAUUAAUUGAAGACCCAGUCAUUAUUAUUAGAUUAAUUGAUAAUGUGAUACAGUGGUGACGUCAUAAGGCAAACUUGAAUGGUUAUCUCUCCUAUCAAACUGGCCAAAGCUUAGAUAAGAUAAUUGUUUUCUUGGUUCUAGUUUUUUUGCGCCAUAAAGUUUGAAAAGAAUUAGUGAAUUUCUACUUUUAAUUGAACAAUGAUUACAUUGUUAAACAUGAAUCAAAUGGAUGGUCUCUGCAACUUCUAUCAUUUGCAUGUUUAUCUUUAGCAGCAAAUAUGGAGGAACCCCUUGUUCCUUCUCUCUUGGACCUUCAGGUAUAAACUAAUAAAUGAUUAGAAUUUAGAACCCAUGUUCAUUUGGCACUUAACAGCCUAGAACUGAAACUACAAUUAUUAUGAAGGACGGUUUUGAAAUUACUACUCAAUAUUUGUUAUAUUUUCCGUGUAGUCCACCUCUCAAUUUGAUUCUUUACUAUUAACAAUCUCUGCAUUUUAAUUUUAGGUUUCAACGUGGUUUGAACAGCAAGCCUAAUGCACUCAUCAAGAAGCUCCGCAAGGCGGUGAGUUUUCUAUUUAUUCACGUAUUGUUUCAUUUCGUUUGUUAAUUCUUUUUGAUACUUGAUUUCAACUUAGAGGUUGGAGUUGGAAUAAAUUUGAAAAUAGGAGGAUUUUGACCAACCAUCACAGUGAACCGACUGCGUUACUACGUCAAAUACCUGAAGUCAACGUUGGUCCUUUUAAUAAACAUGGCCAACACAUAGCCCUAAAACAUUUCAGAGAUAACAAUCUCAGCUAUUGCCCUAUUUGUUAGAUCAAAUACUUAUUGGAUUUUGGUCUGAUUGCUUACUAUUCUAUCUCAAGUGAAUCUCUCUUAUAUAUGAAGCUAUAUCAUUUUAACUUAUGCACGUAUCAAGACUGUAAUUUACAUUCUAACAUCCACCAAAUACAGGACUCUGAUGAGCUAAUGAUAGAAGCUGAUAUCACGUGCACAAUACUAAAAAGCUGAUUUUGGUCUGAUUGUUUAUUCUCUUAGCCUUUGUUACACCAUGUAGGCAUCAAUACUAUCACUUCCCAACAGUCUGUCAAUCACUUCAUUUUUUGCUUCUUAAGAUGUAUCCUGUUGCUUACAAUAGAAGGAUCAAUCAAACUCUUGGUAUGUAUCUUUCUCUAACUGUAUGCAUAAGCAUAUUUAGACUAUGAAGCACAUACACAUAUACCGACACUGGACAUGACACCGACACUGACAUGCUAACAUCAGUAAUAAUUUGAAAAAAUGAAUAAACCUUCAUAUUUGUUGCAAAGCAUUAGCGUGUUAAAAUGCACAUCUGAGCUAUAUACCAAAUUAUGUUUUUUAAAAGACUAUCCAAGUGUUUCAAUGGUUACCUCGUGUAGUCAAUGGUUACCUCGUAUCUUUUACAUACCCAAUGCACAAUCAUAUAUUAUAAGAUUAUCCGUAUUUCAUGCAAUAAAACAUAGCAAAAUCGAAGCUCCUUCAUUAUUAGGGUUUUGAUGGGUACAGAACGGAAGAGAAAGGUGAGUUUGUUCGACGUCGUCGACGCCGCCACCGCUAAGAUGGUGAAAACCAACAGCGCGGCUUAAUCGGCAACAGCCUCAUUAACCACUGGAACGGAAAUCCGUACUCUCAAAGGUACUAUGAGAUUUUGGAGAAGAGGAAAACGCUUCCUGUUUGGCACCAGAAAGAGGAUUUCUUGCAGGUUUUGAAGGAUAACUAGAGUUUGAUUCUCGUUGGUGAAACUGGUAGUGGUAAAACAACGCAGAUUCCCCAAUUUGAUUUAGAGACCCCAGAUAAACGCAAGAAGAUGAUGAUUGCAUGUACUCAGCCUCGUAGAGUGGCUGCUAUGUCUGUUUCACGACGUGUGGCUGAAGAGAUGGAUGUUACUAUUGGGGAAGAGGUCGGUUAUAGCAUCCGAUUUGAAGAUUGUAGUAGUGCAAGGACAGUUUUGAAGUAUUUAACAGAUGGUAUGCUUUUGAGAGAGGCAAUGACGGAUCCUCUUUUGGAACGAUACAAAGUAAUUAUUCUUGAUGAGGCACAUGAAAGGACUUUGGCUACAGAUGUGUUAUUUGGCCUUCUUAAGGAAGUUCUUAAAAACAGACCUGACUUGAAGUUGGUUGUUAUGAGUGCUACACUUGAAGCUGAAAAGUUUCAGGGAUAUUUUUUUGGAGCCCCUCUAAUGAAAGUUCCUGGAAGGCUACAUCCAGUUGAAAUUUUUUAUACUCAAGAACCAUUUUUUUUUUCAUUUUUUACACUCGUCAAAACUGCGGUAUGGUUACCAUUGAUACAUGUGACUCUUUAUUGUAAUAACACUUUCUUGUAAUAAUUUCUUGUGUCUUGUUUUUUUGCAUACAAAAAACAAUUGCUUCUCCAGGGCGUGGUAUUUUGGCCAUGGAUGAAUCCAAUGCUACAUGUGGAAAGCGGUUGGAUUCAAUUGAACUAGAGAACACCGAAACUAACCGUCAAGCAUGACGUAAAAUUAUAUAUGAAGAAAGUGUUAUGACUUAGUUAAAAUAUAAUUUUUAUGUGUAUGAUUUUAUAAUACUUGAAAUAUUAUGACUUUACAUGAUUUUGUAUAUUUUUUUGGUUAAUAUGAAAAAUAUUUUGACUUAGUUAAAAUAUGAUUUUUAUGUGUAUAAUUUUUAUAGUAUUUGCAAUAUUACGACUGAAAAUGAAAUAUAACUAAAUGGUGUAUAUGAAAUAGGGUGUAAAUAGAUAUAAUUGUUCAUUCAUAAAUG